CGGCGAGCGAAGCGGGAAGAGCUCAAAUUUGAAAUCUGGUGGCCUCAGGUCAUCCGAGUUGUAAUCUAUAGAAGUGUUUUCCGUGCUGGCCCAUGUACAAGUCCCUUGGAACAGGGCGUCAUAGAGGGUGAGAAUCCCGUCCUUGACAUGGACUACCAGUGCUCUGUGAUACACUUUCAACGAGUCGAGUUGUUUGGGAAUGCAGCUCAAAAUGGGUGGUAAAUUCCAUCUAAAGCUAAAUAUUGGCGAGAGACCGAUAGCGAACAAGUACCGUGAGGGAAAGAUGAAAAGCACUUUGGAAAGAGAGUUAAACAGUAUGUGAAAUUGUUGAAAGGGAAACGAUUGAAGUCAGUCGUGCUCAAUGGACUCAGCCGUUCUGCGGUGUAUUUCCAUUGGGUGGGGUCAACAUCAGUUUUGAUCGCUGGAUAAAGGCAGGAGGAAUGUAGCACCCCCGGGUGAACUUAUAGCCUCUUGUCACAUACAGUGGUUGGGACUGAGGAACGCAGCAUGCCUUUAUGGCCGGGAUUCGUCCACGUACAUGCUUAGGAUGUUGACAUAAUGGCUUUAAACGACCCGUCUUGAAC
rnacentral:rRNA from 1 species